GGUGUUGUAGCUCUGUGGUACAGCACUUGCCUUGCAUGCAUGAGGCACUGGUUUGAUCCUCAGCACCA
rnacentral:tRNA from 1 species